UACGUAGGAUGCAAGCGUUGUCCGGAAUUAUUGGGCGUAAAGAGUUCGUAGGCGGUUCGUUAAGUCAGAGGUUAAAGACCGGGGCUCAACCCCGGGAGUGCCUUUGAUACUGGCGGGCUUGAGGAUGGCAGAGGAAAGUGGAAUUCCAAGUGUAGCGGUGAAAUGCGUAGAUAUUUGGAGGAACACCAGUGGCGAAAGCGACUUUCUGGGCCAUUUCUGACGCUGAGGAACGAAAGCGUGGGGAGCAAACAGG
rnacentral:rRNA from 1 species